rnacentral:rRNA from 1 species
GAUGAACGCUAGCGGGAGGCUUAACACAUGCAAGUCGAGGGGCAGCAUAGGGUAGCAAUACUCUGAUGGCGACCGGCAAACGGGUGAGUAACGCGUAUGUAACCUACCCUGUACAGGGGGAUAACCCGGAGAAAUUCGGACUAAUAUCCCAUAACAAUAUCCGGGGGGCAUCUUUGGAUAUUUAAAGUUCCGGCGGUACGGGAUGGGCAUGCGUAACAUUAGCUAGUUGGUAAGGUAACGGCUUACCAAGGCUUUGAUGUUUAGGGGUCCUGAGAGGGUGGUCCCCACACUGGUACUGAGACACGGACCAGACUCCUACGGGAGGCAGCAGUGAGGAAUAUUGGUCAAUGGGCGCAAGCCUGAACCAGCCAUCCCGCGUGAAGGAAGAAUGCGCUACGCGUUGUAAACUUCUUUUCCAGGGGGAGAAGUAAUCCUGUCGUGACAGGACUUGACGGUACUCUGGGAAUAAGCAUCGGCUAACUCCGUG